rnacentral:rRNA from 1 species
UACGUAGGGUGCGAGCGUUGUCCGGAAUUAUUGGGCGUAAAGAGCUUGUAGGCGGUUUGUCGCGUCUGCUGUGAAAUUCCAGGGCUUAACCCUGGGCUUGCAGUGGGUACGGGCAGACUAGAGUGCGGUAGGGGUGACUGGAAUUCCUGGUGUAGCGGUGGAAUGCGCAGAUAUCAGGAGGAACACCGAUGGCGAAGGCAGGUCACUGGGCCGCAACUGACGCUGAGGAGCGAAAGCAUGGGGAGCGAACAGG